GAUCCUGGCUCAGGAUGAACGCUAGCUACAGGCUUAACACAUGCAAGUCGAACGGCAGCAUAGAGAGCUUGCUCUCUGAUGGCGAGUGGCGAACGGGUGAGUAAUACAUCGGAACGUGUCCUGUUGUGGGGGAUAACUACUCGAAAGAGUAGCUAAUACCGCAUAAGACCUAAGGGUGAAAGCGGGGGACCUUCGGGCCUCGCGCAGUUGGAGCGGCCGAUGACUGAUUAG
rnacentral:rRNA from 1 species